rnacentral:misc_RNA from 1 species
GGACUUUGCAUUAAAGCAUCUCCAUAUUUGGCUCAGGACUCAGAAGCAUGGUAAAACUAUGUAAUAAUAAUGGAAAGCUAAUCAUUCACAAUUUCAUAAAACGCACAUAACUUUUUACAAGCAGUCAUAUAACGAUAAUGUCAACCCUGGAUACAAAAGUAAUGUAUUCUAUCACCUUCCCAAGACUGCUUUUCUACGUUGGCACAUCCAUAGAGAGAAAGAAAAGAACAAGCGUCAAAUUUUGUUGGAUGUUUAAAGCAGCCCUUGAAAAAACCAUUCUCUCCACUAACAUUCCCCUAAUCUAAAUCUCACUGUCAUCACAAUAUUAUUUUUCUUCCCUGUAGUGUGUAAUUGCAAAAUAAAAUCUACACAAUCACCUUCUAUUGAUGCUUUCUUGAAGCACCCUCCUCUCUAUGGGUGCUGGAUAUUUGGAGAAGCAUUUUCACGUGCUUUCUUCUUUGGUAGCAAAGUGACUGAGCAAUUACCUUUUGGUACUAUACGCUUGGAGCUUUCACCAUUGAUUGAAGGUCUCCGAUGAAGCUGAACAUUUGUUUUCUGGAUCAUAUUGGAAGAGGGUUUUCUUCCAAGUAUUGGAGAUUGAGGUCGUGUCAGUGGAAUCUUAGAUUUCACUUGCAAAUGUGUUUUCUCCAUCUCCUUUGCAUUGUUUUUCUCUUCAAGCUUCUGAAAGAACUGUCAAAGCAAAUGAAAACAAGGUAACAAAAACCAUGGCAAAUUUACAAGGAGUCAAUGAAAAGAACCAUAGUUUCUAAUCUUGCCUCUUUACGCUUUGCGGCUCUUUCUUCACUCCUAAAGCUAAAAGGACACGACAUAAUUGGAGAUCGUGCUUUGCUUCCACUCACAGUUGAAGAUUUUGUGCAGCUGCCAUAGAAUCAAUUUAGGAUAAUUGAGAUCAUAGAAUACGUAGUGCUUUUCUUUUCAGUUGCUAAUUAUGUAAGCUCCAUAAGGAAAGUGAUAUCAGGAAAAUGAAUGCACAAAAAGCUGUUGGGAUGAGCAUGCAGAUUCAUGACUUCAAAGUUAAUUUUUAUACUUUCAAGGUAUAUGCAUAAUAUGAUAUCAAUGAGGCACUUAGCAAGCAUAGCAACUAAUUCCUGAGAAAUGGUUGAGAAGUGAGCACAUGCUUAUUAAGGUAAGCAUUUAAGGUCUACACAAACAUGAACCAUCUUCAAAUUUAGGUAGUACAGUUCUUACUCCGCAGAGAGGGCCUGCAAUAUCCCGCCUACUACCUUUCCUCCAGAAACUGACUUGUUGAAUAGUGAAUGAGUUCUGUAAGAAUAAAUCUUAAAUGUCAAUGAAAGAAAAACAUUUACAAAGGGCCGGCUGCUGGGUUUUGUUAGGGGCAAAAUACCUUCUAUCCUCUGACUGGCGAUUUAUCGAAGGAAGAAGCUUUGAUAUCCCGUAAACAGAUGCCUACAUUUCGGAAACAUAAUUCAUCAUGGUGAGUUGACAGAUAUUUUUCUAAGAAUAACACUCAGGAUCAGGAAUGUGUGCAUCUGUUUACUGCACAUAAGCCAACUGAGAGUAUAACGUAAAGAAUGGAAAUACCCUCGUUGGAUUUUGGGUAGUAGUUGAACUCUCUUUCAACAUUCUGACAGAACUUUUGUUGGUUUCUCCAGAGUGAGGAGCCAAAUUGAUUGACAUGUGGACAGAUUUUGGAGUUGAUCUCCUUUUAUCAAUCAAGCCUCCCACAGACUUAUUGCUGUUUGGAUGGACAUUUGUUCCACCUUUCAGUUGUGUGGAACUGACCAGUUUGCUAGAAGACUUUGGGAGUUUGGAGGCUCUGCUCUGACUUGAUUUUAAUGACGAAUUCAAUUGUCUUUUAUUACUUGGUAAAGCCAAAUUCAACUUCUCUACAGGUUCCUUCUUGGGAAUUUUGUCUUCUGGUAAGGCCACAAUCUUGUCACAGUCCUCAGCAUUAUCAAGCUGCUUUGAAUUUUCCUCCUGAAUAGGGUUCUCCACCUCAACCUUCUCUUCUAUUACCUCUUCAGCUCUUUCCACCAUUGCAGUUUGUAAAUUUUCGUUUUCACCACCCAGAUAAAAUGCAUUUACAUCAGCAGAAUGAGGUGGGUCAAGGACACCUUUUUCCUGUUGCAUAUUCACUACAACAUCACUGGUUGCCUCAGCCAAGGCAGAAUCCAUAGGACUGUCACUGUGAGUUUCUUCAGCAAUUUCUACUCCAGGAACACUAUUAGCUGCAAUUUCUACUUGACAGGCAUUAUUUACAGCAGCAUUUGCUUGCUCAAGCAAGGCUGCUGCUUUCAUGGCAGCUCUCUUCUUGUAAUGAGCUUCAAAAUAAGCUCUCUUUUGAGCAACAGAACCUGGCUUGGAAAACUGCUCAACUUCUUCUAAGUAGCGGUUUUGCGAGAAGGUUGACCAUUUUUCCCAAGCUAAAGAUUCUGACAUAAAUCUCCCAAACGAGAUCGAUUCUGUUAGGGCUCGUAGGGGGUCACCCUGUUUGGCUUCACGGGAAGCAUUAGAUGGAUGAGAAAAUGAUCUCAUAAGACAAGUUGGUUCAGCCAUCUCACUUUACAGUAUAUAAAGCCCUUCUCUUCUCAAAACCCCUUUUUUCUCUCCUUUAGCUUGAUACUGCUGGUUAUAGCUCUGCUUAAUAUUGUUUAUAUGUUUAUCAAACCCUCUAGUCUCUCUUAUGGAAAACCUCUUCAAGGGCUCUCGCUAUACUCUUUCAUUCAUUUAAUAAGUUCAAUCUUGGACUCAUAACUCAAUGGGUCCUUUACAUGUCCAGGCAAGAAAGAGAGAGAGAGGAACUGGGAUUUGCAGAGAAAGGAAGAAGCUUUAGUGUGUGGGCGUUUUUGUUUGCCUUUAAAGUCCACAGCUUUUCAUUUAUAUUUCUGGUUGUGAUCUGUGUGCUGUAUAUUCAUAAUUCUUUCUUUGGAUACUGAUUUUUCUGUUCCGUAUGAAUCUUUUCCAUUUUCUUUUUCUGCAAAAUAUAGAGAGGAGGGGAUGCAUCUGAAAUUCUUGAAAUUUUUGGUGGGACCCCAUGCGGGUAAACCUUCCUUCUAACGUCUAGUUUUCCUUUUCUU